rnacentral:tRNA from 1 species
UGCACCAUAGCCAAGUGGUAAGGCACAGAGCUUUGACCUCUGUAUGCGUCGGUUCGAAUCCGACUGGUGUAG